rnacentral:rRNA from 1 species
UGGGGAAUUUUGGACAAUGGGCGAAAGCCUGAUCCAGCAAUGCCGCGUGUGUGAAGAAGGCCUUCGGGUUGUAAAGCACUUUUGUCCGGAAAGAAAUCCUUGGCUCUAAUACAGUCGGGGGAUGACGGUACCGGAAGAAUAAGCACCGGCUAACUACGUGCCAGCAGCCGCGGUAAUACGUAGGGUGCAAGCGUUAAUCGGAAUUACUGGGCGUAAAGCGUGCGCAGGCGGUUUGCUAAGACCGAUGUGAAAUCCCCGGGCUCAACCUGGGAACUGCAUUGGUGACUGGCAGGCUAGAGUAUGGCAGAGGGGGGUAGAAUUCCACGUGUAGCAGUGAAAUGCGUAGAGAUGUGGAGGAAUACCGAUGGCGAAGGCAGCCCCCUGGGCCAAUACUGACGCUCAUGCACGAAAGCGUGGGGAGCAAACAGGAUUAGAUACCCUGGUAGUCCACGCCCUAAACGAUGUCAACUAGUUGUUGGGGAUUCAUUUCCUUAGUAACGUAGCUAACGCGUGAAGUUGACCGCCUGGGGAGUACGUCGCAAGAUUAAAACUCAAAGGAAUUGNC